rnacentral:rRNA from 1 species
UGAGGAAUAUUGGUCAAUGGGCGAGAGCCUGAACCAGCCAAGUAGCGUGCAGGAUGACGGCCCUAUGGGUUGUAAACUGCUUUUAUGCGGGGAUAAAGUGUACCAUGUAUGGUGUUUUGCAGGUACCGCAUGAAUAAGGACCGGCUAAUUCCGUGCCAGCAGCCGCGGUAAUACGGAAGGUCCGGGCGUUAUCCGGAUUUAUUGGGUUUAAAGGGAGCGUAGGCCGUUUUUUAAGCGUGUUGUGAAAUGCCGCGGCUCAACCGUGGCACUGCAGCGCGAACUGGUACUUGAC